rnacentral:rRNA from 1 species
CUCCUACGGGAGGCAGCAGUAGGGAAUCUUCCGCAAUGGGCGCAAGCCUGACGGAGCAACGCCGCGUGAGUGAGGAAGGCCUUCGGGUUGUAAAACUCAGUCACCUGGGAAGAGAGGUAUGGGGAGUGGAAUGCCCCAUACGAGACGGUACCAGGGGAGGAAGCCCCGGCUAACUACGUGCCAGCAGCCGCGGUAAUACGUAGGGGGCAAGCGUUGUCCGGAAUCACUGGGCGUAAAGCGUGCGUAGGCGGUCUUUCAAGUCCGGGGUGAAAACUCAAGGCUCAACCUUGAGAAUGCCUUGGAAACUGGGGGACUUGGGUACUGGAGAGGCAAGGGGAAUUCCACGUGUAGCGGUGAAAUGCGUAGAGAUGUGGAGGAAUACCAGUGGCGAAGGCGCCUUGCUGGACAGUGACUGACGCUGAGGCACGAAAGCGUGGGGAGCAAACAGGAUUAGAUACCCUGGUAGUCCACGCCGUAAACGAUGAGUGCUAGGUGUUGGGGGUUCAUCCCCUCAGUGCCGAAGGAAACCCAAUAAGCACUCCGCCUGGGGAGUACGGUCGCAAGACUGAAACUCAAAGGAAUUGACGGGGGCCCGCACAAGCAGUGGAGCAUGUGGUUUAAUUCGAAGCAACGCGAAGAACCUUACCAGGGCUUGACAUCCCUCUGACCGGUUCAGAGAUGGACCUUCCCUUCGGGGCAGAGGAGACAGGUGGUGCAUGGUUGUCGUCAGCUCGUGUCGUGAGAUGUUGGGUUAAGUCCCGCAACGAGCGCAACCCUUGACCUGUGUUACCAGCACGUAAUGGUGGGGACUCACAGGUGACUGCCGGCGUAAGUCGGAGGAAGGUGGGGAUGACGUCAAAUCAUCAUGCCCUUUAUGUCCUGGGCUACACACGUGCUACAAUGGGCGGUACAACGGGAAGCGAGACCGCGAGGUGGAGCGAAACCCAAAAAGCCGUUCGUAGUUCGGAUUGCAGGCUGCAACCCGCCUGCAUGAAGCCGGAAUUGCUAGUAAUCGCGGAUCAGCAUGCCGCGGUGAAUCCGUUCCCGGGCCUUGUACACACCGCCCGU